AAGAAGUUUAAAUUCGAUUCUUUUUAUUUCAUUGGCACUCUGCACAGAGUUAAGAGUCAUAAUCCCAGUGGGAUUAGUGCUCACUAUGUCAGAUGCAGAUUUUGAAAAUUGUGAGAUGACAAUAAUAGUGAGAAUGAUAAUCAUAUGAACCGUUUCAAGCUACGGAGAUUCAAGAAAUAAUCAUCAUUGUGGUUUGAAUAUAGUAAGAAUUUCUUUUAUGACUUCAAGGUCAGUAUGAAACAGAAAUGUUAUGCAAAGUAAUGUAAAGAAAAAUAAGAUCAGAAGAUUAGCUCUAACUGUCAGAACAAAAGUUCAUUCAGCCCAAAUCCAGCAUCUUCAGAAAGCAGACAAAGAGAUAUCCUUCUCUUGUUACAUCCUCCCAGCUUUCAGGACCAGGUGAUACAAGGACUCUCUGGUCCAGAAAAGAUAACCGGACUCUUAAGAGCCACCGAUGGACUCAACCUACCAAAAAUGUGACAGUCUUUUAAACUCCUUUUUGCUUUUGGCCCCACAACUCCUUACAGCAGUACUCUCCAGAGUUCGCUGACAUGUAUUGUGAGCAAGCACGUCAAACACGUUCGUUGCUGUUUUGAAGAUUGCUGCCUGCAGAGUUUAGAAAUCAUCCCUUGAUUCUUAUGCUGAACAAAGAGAAACACAGUUUAUGUAAGGUAAACUGACAGCAAUCAUCUCAGUGGGUUAUUAUUGUUUGUGAUGCAUAAUUUAAAAGCCAGAUUUUCCAACAAUUUAUGGAUGCAAUUAUACAUCUAAUUUGCACAGUUAUUGCAGACACAUAUAAUAUCAGUUGCUUGCAUGUUCAGCUGGGCUAAAGUAGGGCUGGAACAGCACUGAAUGAUCCUUUUGUACAUUUUUCCAGGGGAUUAUGCCACAUUUAGCAUAAUCUCUUCUAACAACAGUAAGUCAGCUCUCUAAUAGUUUCACACCAGAUGCAAACCACAUUGUUUUUCAAGGAACAAACAUCCAUUAUUGUCAAUGGACAUUGUUAUAGAAGAAAUCUUCUGACUUUGGAGCUUAGCAGAAAUGCAUACUGAUUUAAAAAAAUUAAACAGCAUGGAAAGACCAAGAUAUUCCUUUCAAAGCAUAGGUCACAGCAUAGGUACAACAUCUGACUUUUUUUGUUGGGGUUUUCAAGCUGACUCACUGCAUAUACAGAAUGCAUAUGUAUAUCAUACAUAUAUAUGUAUAGUACAUAUACUCAACAAGUUUUUACACAGCAAGGCUUUGGCAAAUUGCUUUAGAGACCACAGCCUCCGAAGCAUGCAGGAGGCCAUGAUGCUGGACAGGCUUGUAAAUCCUUAUUUGUCACACACAGCACAGUAAAAAGAAGUGCUGCAAUUUGUGCUGUAAUCCUGCCCAAAGACAAGCCAGUAAUGGGGCCAAAGGUUUUUUUUUUAAUAAAAAUGUCCACAAAAAUUCAGACAUUGACUCAUUUUCAGGAAUAUGCUUCAGGAAUUCAAGCUGAACUCAUCUGAGCCCUUAGCUUUGCUCACUGGUCCAUCAUAGAGUAGGAAAUAAAGGGCUUCAGAGAGGAAUGGUCCCUCAAUUGCUGAAGAUAACUAAUUGGCCUAAUGCAAAAAAAUAAAACAAGAAACAAAUAGAAAAGAGCAAUUAUAACACUGCGGUGACUAGUCUUGUUGAUUAGACUUACUACUUUACACAGAGCAGCUGAACUGAAUUCUUCAUAAAAGAGACCAAACUGAAGUCUUCCACUUAACUGUGUAUUACACUGAGUUAUGAGGAGAACCAUGAGUAUAAAUUAUCUACAAGAGUUUUUGUCUAGCUCCAUCGUGGUAACAGUAUGAUCACGUCAUACAGUAAGAUAUAAAUGACUCAUUUCAUUUCAUGGUAAGAUAAAUCCUGGAAGAAAUGGAAGCUUUACAAACUUGAGCCAUUCAUACGCAUUCACUUGACUUCAUGGACUUUAAAACCUUUAAAAUAACUUUGAAGUGAGGUUAUUUAUAAAGAAAAACUACAAACAAAUUAAGUUAAAUUUACAAGGUAACACACAAUGGAUAUACAAAUAUCUGACCUGAAUGUUUGACAAAUGUAAUUCAAAUAACAAAUGAACAGUAUGGCACAAAAGGACAUAGUCACGAUUAUGGAGCUUAAAAAUAAGACUAUUUUUCCAAGCUUGUCUGCCUUCAAAGGUAUUUAAAACCUGAUUCUCCUCCAGCAUGUAUUAGUGUCAAUCAAAAUCUGCUCAGGUCAAUGGCUUUACACAAUUGCAAAAUUAGUAUAAGUGAGAGGACAAUCAGAGCUUUUGUAUGCUACAAAAAUCUCUCUUAAUAGCAACAGCAGCAGAGAAGAAGGAGGUAGGAGGUCCCUUUCCAAGACAGGCAGUGUAGACAAACAAGAAAAACCUGCUGAGCUUGUAAAUGAGGACUUGGAGGAGGAGCUGUAGCAUUAAUUUAGCCAUUAAUUCACUUCUUAAAAAUUUCCUCUUCCUAUCUUCCACUUCAUGUGAUAUUUAGCAGGAUUUGGGUUACAAAUUUAACAUUACAUUGCAGAGAUGUGCUUUCCAUCACGACGCCCAGAAAGAAGUUAGAACUUUAAAAUUACAUGCUUGUGUGGCAGCAGUGCUUCUUGAUUUGUUUCUUGUGAAGCUGUGACAAAGAAGUGCCCACUUCACUCUUGGGCCCAUUUGUGGCUUCCAAAUCCCAGACUGCCUUCUGCAGAGUGCAGCUAUGACUCCACCACUGGAGGCCUUGCUUGCCAGAUGCAUCUCGUUGCUGUUUGUGAUGGAUCCAGGGAAAUGUGCCCUCAGGUAACGUAUUCUCAGCUCUCGCCUCAUGUUACAGGGUUGUCCCCACUUCACAUGCACUUCGCACGCAGGCAUGUUUUUGCUGUUGGACAUCUCUAUUCUGUAACUGAACAAGGGAGUCAUCAGGAUUUCACCAGCCCACAGGGACUGUUCAAGCAGAACUCAGCUGCUGAUUCAGCAUUUGUUUGUUGUUGGGAAGAACUUCAAGUCUCAACCGACGCUCGUAAAACAACUUGGCUCCAGUAAAUCAUACUGCCUUUUUGUGGAUGUUGAAGGCAUUCACACAAUACAUCCAAAUCUUGGUUCAAGUUGAGCAGGAGCAACAAGAGAAAAUGUUUGGAUUUCAUGAUAAAGGGACACAUGAAUCUUCAAAUCCAGCUGUGCCAAUGGAAGAAUCCUCUCAGGUCUUGCUCAGAAACAUCUAUCAGAUGAACCUGGCCAAGAACCACACCAAGUUUAUGGGAUCAGACUUUCUACUUCCACUCCAGUGAAAAGUCACUUUGACAGUGGUGGUGCUAUUCCUGACCACUGUAUUAUUCAUGCUUUACAUGAUUGGUCUUUAGGCUUGCAGAGUAAAAAGGGGAUGCUGGAGAGAAUAAAAGUAAUAACAGCCUGCAAACUACAAGAAUGACAUGUCUUAGGAGCUGCUUGUCCGCAUAUCAUUUCUGGUUGUAGGCAAGAGCCACUCAAAUUCAUUAAGAGCAAACGGAAGUCCUUCAGCCCCAGAUUCCUGUCAUUUUAUUUGAAGAGGAGGCCUCUGGCAUGUAACCAGAUAUCUUCCGGGUUUUUCAGCUUGCUGAUCUUUGCCUUCAGACUUCUGGCCAGUAUUAAUUUACAUAGGCCUGAAACAAGCGUGGCGCUAUCCGUCUUCUUGAGUUACAUGCAAGGAACACCAAUAAACUUCCUGAUGUAACUAAUGAAGGAAAUUGGGAAGGAAGGAACAGUCUAUCAAUUAUCAAUUGGAUAAAAGUUGCAGGAAUUGGGCAAAUUAAAGUAUAUGAAGCAAGUACUUCAAUAAUAAGAGCUGAGACUCAAGAAGAAACUGUGUGCAUUUCAACAUACUGAGCACAGAUGCAUUUGCAAUGUGGCAGCAGAAGGGAAAAAGAAGAACAGAGAUGGAGAGCAUAAGGGCAAGGGCAAGCACAUUUCAGAAAGAAAAAAGAAAAUGGUGAUUUGUUCCUAGAUGGGAGAGAUGCAGAUCUACCACAUUUCAUAACAUGUGGAAAUGAAGCCGUACAUUUCUGGUGCCAUUUGUUUACAUUGUUGGUUUUUGUUUGCAUUGUUUGUUUGUUUGUUUGUUUGUUGUGAGCAUUCUGAUACCACCCCUUUUUUGCUCUGAUCCCCAAUUAAAUGAAAAUUCAAAAGUCA
ensembl:lncRNA